GAUAAACGCUGGCGGCGUGCCUUAUGCAUGCAAGUCGUACGAGACCAAGGCUUCGGCCUGAAGUCUAGUGGCGGACGGGUGAGUAACACGUACGUGACCUGUCCGGAAGUGGGGAAUAACCAGCCGAAAGGUUGGCUAAUACCGCAUACGGUUACUGCUUGGAAGCAGCAAACCAAAGUCGCAGGACGCUUCCGGAGGGGCGUGCGGCCGAUUAGCUGGUUGGUGUGGUAAUGGCGCACCAAGGCGGUGAUCGGUAGCUGGUCUGAGAGGACGGUCAGCCACACUGGGACUGAGACACGGCCCAGACUCCUACGGGAGGCAGCAGCAGGGAAUUUGCGCAAUGGGCGAAAGCCUGACGCAGCAACGCCGCGUGGGGGAUGAAGGCACUUGGGUCGUAAACCCCUUUUGCCGGGGAAGAUAAUGACGGUACCCGGCGAAUAAGCCACGGCUAACUACGUGCCAGCAGCCGCGGUAAUACGUAGGUGGCAAGCGUUGUCCGGAUUAUUGGCGUACG
rnacentral:rRNA from 1 species